rnacentral:tRNA from 1 species
GCAGGUCAGGGCGAUGAUCGACCCUCACUGGCAGUGAGGGGGUCAGGGGUUCGAGUCCCUUAGCUCCA